ACUCGCGCUUGUGUUCGUUGCGUGCUGCGCGUAUAUUGCUCGAUGUGGAGAUUUGUCUUCUGAAAAGGGAUGGAAUCCAUAUAUGAAAUUUUUAUCCUUACGAGUUGCUUGAAGCUUCUGCUGAUUCCAGCAUAUCGAAGCACAGACU